rnacentral:rRNA from 1 species
CAGUCGCCGCGGGAAUACGAAGGGGGCUAGCGUUGCUCGGAAUGACUGGGCGUAAAGGGCGCGUAGGCGGUUUAUACAGUCAGAUGUGAAAUUCCUGGGCUCAACCUGGGGACUGCAUUUGAUACGUAUGGACUUGAGUGGAGAAGAGGGUCGUGGAAUUUCCAGUGUAGAGGUGAAAUUCGUAGAUAUUGGAAAGAACACCGGUGGCGAAGGCGGCGACCUGGUCUUUAACUGACGCUGAGGCGCGAAAGCGUGGGGAGCAAACAGGAUUAGAUACCCCCGUAGUCCCUGUCUCUUAUAC